GCUUCAUUUCUUCGUUUUGCUCGACCUAAACCCGCCUCCCUCCCCAAAAUCAUCGAUCCCAGAUUCUAGCCCCUAAAAUCAUCAAAACCAUGGACAAAUCUCUCUUGCAAUAGGUCGUAUCCCAAAUCCCCAUCCUUAUUUCUCCACAAUUUCGACAGAUUCACCUUUGUUGUUUGAAAAUCCCCAAACCAUCGAAACCCUAAUUCUGGAAAAGUGUUGUUUCCUUCACCGAAAGGUCAAGUGAAACCGUCCUCCAGUUCUGUGAUUUCGACGACUCCGGCAACCUGGCAAGGUGUUUGUGACUGCAAGAGAAGGCAGAAGGAGAUCGACUCCGGUAACUUUAGAAACUCCAAGGUCAAGAAGGUCAAGCUCAUCGUCCUCCAGUUCUACAAGGUCGACGACUCCUGCAAGGUGCAGAAGCUGAGGAAGGAGUGAAAUAGAAGGCAGAGGGAGAGCAUUUUUCUGGAUUAAACUCUGAAUGUUUAGGUACUUUUGGAGCUAAAAAGUACUAUUGCAGAAACUUCACAGAGGGCCGGGAAUAGAGAAGGAACAACUCGAUGAUAUUGUUCUUCGCCAAUUAACAGAAAGCUAGGCAAGGACAAAGCUGGUUGGAGCUUACGUUUAGGAGCAUACAUUGGAGCUUUUAUUUAAAAGAUGGCAUUUUCUUCUAGUAGCUUGAGUACCCCCUCAAUAUGCAGUAACCUUAAUCACACCUCUACUUCAUCAAGUUGCUGCAUUCUGUUUUAGUCUAAUAUUGACAAACUGAAACUGUGCAGUGGCAUCCCCAUACUGGAGAAGAUGAGGUGAUGGCUGAUCGGAACAUUAAACCAACCUAACUUGUGUUUUUUUUCUUCAGUUUUAUGUAUAAUGGGGCUGCGUAUUUUUCAGUUAAUUGUUGGUCAUGUAAUUUCUUUAUAAGUGUUGUGUUAUUUUUUUUUAUUUUUUUUUGGACUUUUGGAUGAGUUGCAGCUUUGUACUUUGUUGUGGACUUGUGCAAUGUGGCAAUGUGCCGUA